GAUGAACGCUAGCGGCAGGCUUAAUACAUGCAAGUCGAGGGGCAGCAUGAUUGUAGCAAUACAAUUGAUGGCGACCGGCAAACGGGUGCGGAACACGUACACAACCUUCCAACAAGUGGGGGAUAGCCCAGAGAAAUUUGGAUUAAUACCCCGUAACAUAGCGAUGUGGCAUCACAUUGCUAUUAUAGAUUUUUCGCUUGUUGAUGGGUGUGCGGCUGAUUAGAUAGUUGGCGGGGUAACGGCCCACCAAGUCUACGAUCAGUAGCUGAUGUGAGAGCAUGAUCAGCCACACGGGCACUGAGACACGGGCCCGACUCCUACGGGAGGCAGCAGUAAGGAAUAUUGGACAAUGGACGCAAGUCUGAUCCAGCCAUGCCGCGUGAAGGAUUAAGGUCCUCUGGAUUGUAAACUUCUUUUAUAAGGGACGAAAAAAGGCUUUUCUAAGUCGUCUGACGGUACCUUAUGAAUAAGCACCGGCUAACUCCGUGCCAGCCGCCGCAGUAAAAC
rnacentral:rRNA from 1 species